rnacentral:rRNA from 1 species
GAUUUCUGACGAACCGGAGUGGCCCGUUUUCAUUUCGGAAAUGAGUGCCGCUUUGAGUUUGUCAUCCUUCCAGAGAGCUGCGUCUACCGUUUACUCGGCCGGACGUAUGCGAUCUGGAUCUAUUACUUUGAAAAAAUUAGAGUGUUUAAAGCAGGCUUAUGCUGUGAAUACAUUAGCAUGGAAUAAUAAUUUAGGACUUUGGCCCUAUUUUGUUGGUUUCUAGGACUGAAGUAAUGAUUGAUAGGGAUAGUUGGGGGUGCUCGAAUUCAGCGGCCAGAGGUGAAAUUCUUGGAUUCGCUGAAGACGAACUCAUGCGAAAGCAUU